rnacentral:lncRNA from 1 species
AAAAAAGGGCAUCCCGGCGAACAAAAAAAAAACAGAAAGAAAGGGUUCGGGCAAAAAUUAGGGAUAAAAAAUGAAAAGAAUUUGUACACCCGGUAAGUCGAAAACCCGUAAGGGCGGCUUAGGCAAAAAUGGGUAUCCCGGUGGAUUGAAAACCCGACAGGGCGAUCCGGGGAAAAGAGGGAUUAAAGCGAAGACUACAGUCUGAGUUAUC